AGGACGAACGCUGGCGGUGUGCCUCAUACAUGCAAGUCGAACGAGAAACGUUCUUCGGAAGCGUGGAAAGUGGCGGACGGGUGAGUAAUAUGUAGGAAAUCUGCCCUAGAGAGGGGGACAACAGAGGGAAGCUUCUGCUAAUACCCCAUAUGAGCUUGGUUGAAAUACCAAUCUUGAAAACUCCGGUGCUCUAGGAUGAGCCUGCAUCUGAUUAGCUAGUUGGUGGUGUAAUGGACCACAAAGGCGACGAUCAGUAGCUGGUUUGAGAGGAUGAUCAGCCACAAUGGGACUGAGACACGGCCCAUACUCCUACGGGAGGCAGCAGUAGGGAAUUUUGCGCAAUGGGGAAACCCUGACGCAGCAACACCGCGUGAAUGUUAAGCCCUUCGGGGUAUAAAGUUCUGUCAAUGGGGAAGAAUAAAUGACUGUACCCAUAAAGGAAGCACCGGCUAACUCCGUGCCAGCCGCGGC
rnacentral:rRNA from 1 species